AUUGAACGCUGGCGGCAGGCCUAACACAUGCAAGUCGAACGAGUGGCGGACGGGUGAUUAAUGUCUGGGAAACUGCCUGAUGGAGUGGGCUAACUACUGGAAACGGUAGGUAAUACCGCAUACCAUCCGAUUUGCCCAGAUGGGAUUAGCUAGUAGGUGGGGUAAAGGCUCACCUAGGCGACGAUCCCUAGCUGGUCUGAGAGGAUGACCAGCCACACUGGAACUGAGAAACGGUCCAGACUCCUACGGGAGGAAGCAGUGGGGAAUAUUGCACAAUGGGCGCAAGACUGAUGCAGCAAUGCCGCGUGGAUGAAGAAGGUCUUCGGGUUGUAAAGUACUUUUAGCGGGGAGGCGUUACCAGAAGAAGAAGCACCGGCUAACUCCGUGCCAGCAGCCGCGGUAAUUC
rnacentral:rRNA from 1 species